rnacentral:rRNA from 1 species
AGUCGAACGGAAGUCGUUGUAAUGAAAUGGAAUGGACAGAGAACUUGUUCGAAGAAAGUUGAAGUAGACUUACAACAAUGGCUUUAGUGGCGGACUGGUGAGUAACGCGUAAGGAACCUGCCUUUUAGAGGGGAAUAACAAUGAGAAAUCAUUGCUAAUACCGCAUAUGCCGAGAGAAUCACAUGGUACAAUCGGGAAAGGAGCAAUUCGCUAAAAGAUGGCCUUGCGUCUGAUUAGAUAGUUGGUGGGGUAACGGCCUACCAAGUCGACGAUCAGUAGCCGGACUGAGAGGUUGAACGGCCACAUUGGGACUGAGAUACGGCCCAGACUCCUACGGGAGGCAGCAGUCGGGAAUAUUGCGCAAUGGAGGAAACUCUGACGCAGUGACGCCGCGUAUAGGAAGAAGGUUUUCGGAUUGUAAACUAUUGUCGUUAGGGAAGAGAAAGGACAGUACCUAAGGAGGAAGCUCCGGCUAACUACGUGCCAGCAGCCGCGGUAAUACGUAGGGAGCGAGCGUUAUCCGGAAUUAUUGGGUGUAAAGGGUGCGUAGACGGGAAGAUAAGUUAGUUGUGAAAUCCCUCGGCUUAACUGAGGAACUGCAACUAAAACUGUUUUUCUUGAGUGCAGGAGAGGUAAGUGGAAUUCCUAGUGUAGCGGUGAA